GACGAGAAGCUUGCUUCUCUGAUGUUAGCGGCGGACGGGUGAGUAACACGUGGAUAACCUACCUAUAAGACUGGGAUAACUUCGGGAAACCGGAGCUAAUACCGGAUAAUAUUUUGAACCGCAUGGUUCAAAAGUGAAAGACGGUCUUGCUGUCACUUAUAGAUGGAUCCGCGCUGCAUUAGCUAGUUGGUAAGGUAACGGCUUACCAAGGCAACGAUGCAUAGCCGACCUGAGAGGGUGAUCGGCCACACUGGAACUGAGACACGGUCCAGACUCCUACGGGAGGCAGCAGUAGGGAAUCUUCCGCAAUGGGCGAAAGCCUGACGGAGCAACGCCGCGUGAGUGAUGAAGGUCUUCGGAUCGUAAAACUCUGUUAUUAGGGAAGAACAUAUGUGUAAGUAACUGUGCACAUCUUGACGGUACCUAAUCAGAAAGCCACGGCUAACUACGUGCCAGCAGCCGCGGUAAUACGUAGGUGGCAAGCGUUAUCCGGAAUUAUUGGGCGUAAAGCGCGCGUAGGCGGUUUUUUAAGUCUGAUGUGAAAGCCCACGGCUCAACCGUGGAGGGUCAUUGGAAACUGGAAAACUUGAGUGCAGAAGAGGAAAGUGGAAUUCCAUGUGUAGCGGUGAAAUGCGCAGAGAUAUGGAGGAACACCAGUGGCGAAGGCGACUUUCUGGUCUGUAACUGACGCUGAUGUGCGAAAGC
rnacentral:rRNA from 1 species